CUAUGCGCCUUGCCAGCCCGCUCAGUCAGAGUUUGAUCCUGGCUCAGGAUGAACGCUAGCGGCAGGCCUAAUACAUGCAAGUCGGACGGGAUCUAUCGGAGAGCUUGCUCGAAGGUAGUGAGAGUGGCGCACGGGUGCGUAACGCGUGAGCAACCUACCCAUAUCAGGGGGAUAGCCCGGAGAAAUCCGGAUUAAUACCGCAUGAGACAUCACCUUCGCAUGGAGGCGUUGUCAAAUAUUCAUAGGAUAUGGAUGGGCUCGCGUGACAUUAGCUAGUUGGUGGGUAACGCCACCAAGGCGACGAUGUCUAGGGGCUCUGAGAGGAGAAUCCCCCACACUGGUACUGAGACACGGACCAG
rnacentral:rRNA from 1 species